UAUCUCUGUAGAGUCUGCAUAUCAAUAAGCGGAGGAAAAGAAACUAACAAGGAUUCCCCUAGUAACGGCGAGUGAAGCGGGAAGAGCUCAAAUUUGAAAUCUUAAAGGGUUUCCCUUUACGAAUUGUAGUUUAAAGAAGUGUUUUCUGUUGGAGUUUCGGUAAAAGUUCUUUGGAAUAGGACAUCAUAGAGGGUGAGAAUCCCGUAUUUGACCGUUACUUUCCAGCUGUGUGAUACACUUUCAAAGAGUCGGAUUGUUUGGGAAUGCAGUCCAAAAUGGGGUGGUAAAUUUCAUCUAAAGCUAAGUAUUGGCGAGAGACCGAUAGCGAACAAGUACCGUGAGGGAAAGAUGAAAAGAACUUUGAAAAGAGAGUUAAACAGUACGUGAAAUUGUCAAAAGGGAAGCGUUUGACACCAGUGUUGUUUUCUCGAAAAUCAAUUAAAAAAAGUUGGAUUUUGUAUUGUUAAGACCUUAUCAGCUUACUGUACUCUUUUCUUGCUUUUUUUAAUGCACUUUUCGUUUAACAAGUCAACAUCAAUUUCUUUUGUUGUAAAAGAGUCAUUGGAAGGUGGCUUUCACUUCGGUGAAAGUGUUUAUAGCCUUUGGCUUCUGCAAUCGGAGAGAUUGAGGUCUGCAGCGUAGAUCCUUCGGGGUUAGAUACACUUGUGCUAAGUUGUAGCUUUUCAUAGACAACUUGUUGACUAUGAUCAGUCAUGUAGCUUACUCGCUUAUGCUAUUUUACCUACGCUUAGGAUGUUGAAGAUGUAGCACAUCAU
rnacentral:rRNA from 1 species